rnacentral:lncRNA from 1 species
CGACGUAAUUUGAAGGUUCCUGAUCGUCGCCGUGUCGAUUUGCCCUUAGGGACUAGAGAUUUUCGACAAGGGUUUUCUCUCUCAUCAAAAUGAGGUCCCUUGUGCCUUCGAUGUAGUUUGUUUUUCACUUAUCGCCGGUGUAGUUCGUCGCUUUCUCUUUUCAUCUCUCCUUUUCUUCUAUGUUUGAGUGAGGGUCUUCCCUCUGCUCUUGACGGGG